rfam:Ovis aries breed Texel chromosome 11, whole genome shotgun sequence.
UCCCUGGUGGCUCAGAGGUUAAAGUAUCUGCCUCAAAUGCGGGAGACCUGGGUUCGAUCCCUGGGUUGGGAA